rnacentral:rRNA from 1 species
CCUACGGGAGGCAGCAGUGGGGAAUAUUGGGCAAUGGGCGCAAGCCUGACCCAGCAACGCCGCGUGAAGGAAGAAGGCUUUCGGGUUGUAAACUUCUUUUCUCAGGGACGAAGAAAGUGACGGUACCUGAGGAAUAAGCCACGGCUAACUACGUGCCAGCAGCCGCGGUAAUACGUAGGUGGCAAGCGUUAUCCGGAUUUAUUGGGUGUAAAGGGCGUGUAGGCGGGAGCGCAAGUCAGAUGUGAAAACUCAGGGCUCAACCCUGAGCCUGCAUUUGAAACUGUGUUUCUUGAGUGCUGGGGAGGCAAUCGGAAUGCCGUGUGUAGCGGUGAAAUGCGUAGAUAUACGGAGGAACACCAGUGGCGAAGGCGGAUUGCUGGACAGUAACUGACGCUGAGGCGCGAAAGCGUGGGGAGCAAACAGGAUUAGAUACCCCAGUAGUC